UGGGGAAUAUUGGACAAUGGGGGGAACCCUGAUCCAGCCAUGCCGCGUGUGUGAAGAAGGUCUUCGGAUUGUAAAGCACUUUAAGUUGGGAGUAAGGGCAGUAAGCGAAUACCUUGCUGUUUUGACGUUACCGACAGAAUAAGCACCGGCUAACUCUGUGCCAGCAGCCGCGGUAAUACAGAGGGUGCAAGCGUUAAUCGGAAUUACUGGGCGUAAAGCGCGCGUAGGUGGUUCGUUAAGUUGUAUGUGAAAGCCCCGGGCUCAACCUGGGAACUGCAUCCAAAACUGGCGAGCUAGAGUAGGGCAGAAGUUGGUGGAAUUUCCUGUGUAGCGGUGAAAUGCGUAGAUAUAGGAAGGAACACCAGUGGCGAAGGCGACCACCUGGGAUCAUACUGACACUGAGGUGCGAAAGCGUGGGGAGCAAACAGG
rnacentral:rRNA from 1 species